rnacentral:rRNA from 1 species
GUGUCAGCCGCCGCGGUAAUACCCGCAGCCCAAGUAGUGGUCGCGAUUAUUGGGCCUAAAGCGCUCGUAGCCGGGUCAUCAAGUCCCUUGUGAAAUCGGGCGGCCUAACCGUUCGGCUUGCAAGGGAUACUGUUGGUCUUGAGGCCGGGAGACGUCUGAGGUACUCCGGGGGUAGCGGUAAAAUGCUGUAAUCCUCGGGGGACCACCAGUGGCGAAGGCGUCAGACGAGAACGGACCUGACGGUGAGGGGCGAAGGCUAGGGGAGCGAACGGGAUUAGAUACCCCGGUAGUCCUAGCUGUAAAGCAUGCGGGCCAGGUGUCUGGUGUUCCUUGAGAGCACCAAGUGCCGGAGGGAAGCCGUUAAGCCCGCCGCCUGGGAAGUACGGUCGCAAGGCUGAAACUCAAAGGAAUUGGCGGGG